CCUUGCUGUUCCACCGGUGCUCUUUGUCACCCGGGUGUCCCGCCAGGAGUGUUCGGUCAGCAGUGCUGAGGGCAGCACAUUGGACUCGCAUCACAGCGUAAUCAGAUAUCCCCCCCCCACAUAUCACAUAGUUCUGCUUGGCUGGGCUCUGCUGAGACUUGCCAUGAUGUGGUCACGCACGCCUCCGGAUGCCCACGCACGCAUACGCGCCCACAGACGAGCUGACGUGUGACACAUGGAGGUUGUGUGAAGUGGAACCUCUCCUGUUGGGAAGGCCUUUGUCUUUCUGUCCGUGGCCGGUGACCCGUGCGGGACGGACCUGGUCGCCUUUCGUCAAAUACAUGCUGCAACCCCCCCCCCUCCACACACACACACACGCCACCUAGAAGAGGAAGGAUGGAUGGAAAGGAAAUCAGUAUUUACUUUAGACAGAAAGUGAUUCUAUUCGUAUUGAUUCGUAAUGAAUUUAUUUCCCAAAGAGAAGCGCUUUGAAUCGGUGAAAUCCGCUCUUCCGUGUUUGCUGGUGUUUCCUUUUGGUGGAGCUGCUUUUGGCGCCAUGCAGAGUGAACGCACGCCGUCUGGUUUCUUAUCUUUUUUUUCUUUUUUUUUAUAAAAGAACAACCGGCUGAGCCGUUAUUGUCGCACGCCUGAACCUCAGCGGCAAAUGGAAAAGGCAUCGGUGACGCGUCGGCUGUUUGGAGCUUUAUUUGACCACUCGAUUACUUUUUAAAGUGGCCGAUGAGACGGCGGCGUUGGGCGGGAAUAAAAAAAAACAAUAAUGGCUCUUUUUAUUGUUUUAAUAUACAUUUCGCGCCAUUGCUUUAUUGUUCAGUGACAGAUAUUGACGGCACAUCGGUGGUUUCUCCCUUCUCGGUGCGCCGAAACAGAACAAGUGAUAUAAUUCCUCUUCCUUAGGAGUGAAUAUCCAGCCCUGUAAAUCAAAUCGGCAUGAAGGAGAAGCAACAACGGUUUUGAGAGCAGUAUGCAAUAUUCAUUGUUCAUAAAUGAUUCAUUUGUUUGCUCGCAACUCAGCCUAAAGUGAUUGUGGCCCUUUUUUCAUUUGGGCCUAUAUAUCCGUGGCAAAUACAGUCGCGCUGAACGGAGCGGCGUUUGUGUUUCAUGCACACACACACACACACUCACACUCGCCGUCGCUCCUGCGCCCGACUCUCCAGAAAGAGCUCGGAUUCACAAAGAGCCCGCAGGAUAAAGACAAAUAAUUACACCCAAUUAGUGAUUGUACCACCAGGUAUACACACGGCAAUUACCAAUGGCGUUUGGGCGGAGGCGGGGCCCGGCGUGUGGCGAAAAAAAAAGGCCCCGGCGAGGCGCGAAAGGUUUCCUGCGUCAGUGGCGGUUUGCCGUCGCUCUUUACCUGCGGUUUUAAGUGGAGUCAGUAAUGCGAUUUACCCUCUGCAGAGUGCGGCGUAAUGAUUUUACCCCCGGAUGAGAUCCCCGCCAAAGAUUUUCCAUUUCUCCCGCCCCGGUGCGGCCGAGGACGCCGAGGCCAACGCGGGUUCUCGCGUUUGCCUUCUUCACACAGAGAGAUAAUUACACUCUCAGACGCCGAGCCAAGUAGCGGCGCACACUAAACCGGGAGUCACAUUUUCCCGUGCAGUUGCCGGCGUUUGAAUCGGCGAGCUGAUUGCACUUGCUUGGAUCGUGCUAUUUGGGAUUAGCGCAGCGCGGAGGGAAUGCGCGGCAUCGUGCGACGACCGCCGCGAGCAAAACAAAUCGGCCCCGUUUCUCAUUAUCACAAGUUUCUCUUUCCACGUGAUUGUCUCAUUACAGCAAACGUGUGUCAUUGUAACGUUGCACUAGAAACCGGGUGUAAGUACAGUUUGUUUAUUCAUUAUUUACUGUAAAU
ensembl:lncRNA